AAUGGGCGAAAGCCUGAUCCAGCCAUGCCGCGUGAGUGAUGAAGGCCCUAGGGUUGUAAAGCUCUUUCAGUGGGGAAGAUAAUGACGGUACCCACAGAAGAAGCCCCGGCUAACUUCGUGCCAGCAGCCGCGGUAAUACGAAGGGGGCUAGCGUUGUUCGGAUUUACUGGGCGUAAAGCGCACGUAGGCGGAUUGUUAAGUCAGAGGUGAAAUCCCGGGGCUCAACCCCGGAACUGCCUUUGAUACUGGCAAUCUCGAGUCCGGAAGAGGUGAGUGGAAUUCCGAGUGUAGAGGUGAAAUUCGUAGAUAUUCGGAGGAACACCAGUGGCGAAGGCGGCUCACUGGUCCGGUACUGACGCUGAGGUGCGAAAGCGUGGGGAGCAAA
rnacentral:rRNA from 1 species